GAGCGCAGUUCGGCAAUACAUAAUUAGAAGUGCUGUAAUUUUUUUUGCGAUUUUCGUUUAAAUUUGAUAUCAAAACGCUUAUUAAAAAAAAAAGUUAACCGAUAAUUUUGGAAAUUUUAUCACGUUUAGAUGAGUAUUAUUUUAUUACCAAGUUUCAAGUCUCUACGUGUAUUUAUAACCGAACUACAGCAAAAAACUCAUAUUUAA